GAUGAACGCUGGCGGCGUGCCUAAUACAUGCAAGUCGAGCGAACGGACGAGAAGCUUGCUUCUCUGAUGUUAGCGGCGGACGGGUGAGUAACACGUGGAUAACCUACCUAUAAGACUGGGAUAACUUCGGGAAACCGGAGCUAAUACCGGAUAAUAUUUUGAACCGCAUGGUUCAAAAGUGAAAGACGGUCUUGCUGUCACUUAUAGAUGGAUCCGCGCUGCAUUAGCUAGUUGGUAAGGUAACGGCUUACCAAGGCAACGAUGCAUAGCCGACCUGAGAGGGUGAUCGGCCACCCUGGAACUGAGACACGGUCCAGACUCCUACGGGAGGCAGCAGUAGGGAAUCUUCCGCAAUGGGCGAAAGCCUGACGGAGCAACGCCGCGUGAGUGAUGAAGGUCUUCGGAUCGUAAAACUCUGUUAUUAGGGAAGAACAUAUGUGUAAGUAACUGUGCACAUCUUGACGGUACCUAAUCAGAAAGCCACGGCUAACUACGUG
rnacentral:rRNA from 1 species